CCUACGGGCGGCUGCAGUGGGGAAUAUUGGACAAUGGGCGAAAGCCUGAUCCAGCCAUGCCGCGUGUGUGAAGAAGGCCUUCGGGUUGUAAAGCACUUUCAAUGGGGAAGAAAGCCUUGGGGCUAAUACCCUCGAGGAAGGACAUCACCCACAGAAGAAGCACCGGCUAACUCCGUGCCAGCAGCCGCGGUAAUACGGAGGGUGCGAGCGUUAAUCGGAAUUACUGGGCGUAAAGCGCGCGUAGGCGGUCUGAUAAGCCGGUUGUGAAAGCCCCGGGCUCAACCUGGGAACGGCAUCCGGAACUGUCAGGCUAGAGUGCAGGAGAGGAAGGUAGAAUUCCCGGUGUAGCGGUGAAAUGCGUAGAGAUCGGGAGGAAUACCAGUGGCGAAGGCGGCCUUCUGGACUGACACUGACGCUGAGGUGCGAAAGCGUGGGUAGCAAACAGGAUUAGAUACCCCGGUAGUC
rnacentral:rRNA from 1 species